AUGCACGCUGGCGGCGUGCCUAAUACAUGCAAGUCGAGCGCACGGACGAGAAGCUUGCUUUUCUGAUGUUAGCGGCGGACGGGUGAGUAACACGUGGAUAACCUACCUAUAAGACUGGGAUAACUUCGGGAAACCGGAGCUAAUACCGGAUAAUAUUUUGAACCGCAUGGUUCAAAAGUGAAAGACGGUCUUGCUGUCACUUAUAGAUGGAUCCGCGCUGCAUUAGCUAGUUGGUAAGGUAACGGCUUACCAAGGCAACGAUGCAUAGCCGACCUGAGAGGGUGAUCGGCCACACUGGAACUGAGACACGGUCCAGACUCCUACGGGAGGCAGCAGUAGGGAAUCUUCCGCAAUGGGCGAAAGCCUGACGGAGCAACGCCGCGUGAGUGAUGAAGGUCUUCGGAUCGUAAAACUCUGUUAUUAGGGAAGAACAUAUGUGUAAGUAACUGUGCACAUCUUGACGGUACCUAAUCAGAAAGCCACGGCUAACUACGUG
rnacentral:rRNA from 1 species